rnacentral:rRNA from 1 species
AUAACCUGCCCUUUGGAGGGGGAUAACGUUCCGAAAGGAGCGCUAAUACCGCAUACAGCAAGAGCCGGUUUGCCGGUUUUUGGCAAAGGUAGGGACCCGCAAGGGCCUAUCGCCAGAGGAGGGGUCUGCGGCCCAUCAGCUAGUUGGUGAGGUAAUGGCUCACCAAGGCAGAGACGGGUAGCUGGUCUGAGAGGAUGAUCAGCCACACUGGUACUGGAACACGGACCAG